rnacentral:lncRNA from 1 species
GACAUAGGCCCAACCUCAUAAUCCAUCUCUCAUUCUUCUUCAUUAUACAAAAAACCCUACCAUACCAAUAUUACAAGAAUGGAGAACUAAAUAAAAAAACCCUAAACAAUAAGACAACACAAAUAUACGCAGCCGCCGAACCACUAGCGGUAACACCACCACUGCCCAACAACCCUUCUUCACGAUCAGCCAGCCGCCGUUUACCUCCUUCAACACCAGCCAACGAUGAACCAGCAGCAACACCGUCCCCAACUUCCCAAAAUCAUAUAAGAAUUUCAGUUUCUUUUGAUUCUGUUAGUUCUCAAAUCCGAAAAAAAAAAUCUGUUUCUUCUUCUUGAAUUCAAUUGUGUUUUGCAGCAAUGGGGUUUUGAUUGGAGUCAUUUUGGGUUCGAGCUGAAGCAGCGAUCCAAGGUCUAUUCUUGGUCUUUGUCGCGGCUCCUUUAUUCGAUUUUAUCGCCGUUUCUCAUCAGAUGUUUGGGAUCGAAGGAAUGUAUGUUUGUUUAUUUUUUCCACUGUUGAAUAAAAAAAUUCAGUUUAACAGGUUCAUUUCUGUCUUUCUUAUCUCAUUCGAUUUUUGUCAGAUUUAAUUUUCCUUCCGUUACUUGGAUUCUGUUUCACUUUCGUGCUUAAAGGCUUAUGGGUUUGAAUCUGUUUGCUUGAAAAAUUGAUUGAAUGUGUGUGACAGCAUGGAUUA